UACGGGGGGAGCAAGCGUUGUUCGGAUUUACUGGGCGUAAAGGGCGCGUAGGCGGCGCAACAAGUCACUUGUGAAAUCUCCGGGCUUAACCCGGAGCGGCCAAGUGAUACUGUCGUGCUAGAGUGCGGAAGGGGCUACUGGAAUUCUCGGUGUAGCGGUGAAAUGCGUAGAUAUCGGGAGGAGCACCUGAGGCGAAGGCGGGCUACUGGGCCGAUACUGACGCUGAUGUGCGAAAGCCAGGGGAGCGAACGGG
rnacentral:rRNA from 1 species